UACAGAGGCCUCGAGCGUUAGGCGGAAUCACUGGGCUUAAAGCGUGUGUAGGUGGAUGCCUAAGUGCCUUGUGAAAUCCCCACGGCUUAACCGUGGAAUUGCUGGGCAUACUGGGUGUCUUGAGCCACUCAGGGGCUACCGGAACAAAUGGUGGAGCGGUGAAAUGCGUAGAUAUCAUUUGGAACGCCAAUGGUGAAAACAGGUAGCUGGGGGUGUGCUGACACUGAGACACGAAAGCCCAGGGGAGCAAACGGG
rnacentral:rRNA from 1 species